AUCUGGUGCAGAGAUUAUCAGACAAACAGUUUCCUCCACUGAGCCAGAGAGUGGAAACGAUGGAGUCUCUUAUUGAGCUGCUUUUGGAGACACUGGCUGAUCUGAGAGGCAGCGAGCUCAGAGACUUCAUCCAGAUCCUGGGAAUAAAA